rnacentral:rRNA from 1 species
GUCGAACGAACCUUCGGGUUAGUGGCGGACGGGUGAGUAACGCGUGGGAACCUGCCCUCAGGAGGGGGAUAACGGUUGGAAACGGCCGCUAAUACCCCAUAUGCCGAGAGGUGAAAUGAAUUUCGCCUGAGGAUGGGCCCGCGUCUGAUUAGCUAGUUGGUGGGGUAAGAGCCUACCAAGGCGACGAUCAGUAGCUGGUCUGAGAGGAUGAUCAGCCACACUGGGACUGAGACACGGCCCAGACUCCUACGGGAGGCAGCAGUGGGGAAUUUUCCGCAAUGGGCGAAAGCCUGACGGAGCAACGCCGCGUGAGGGAUGAAGGCCUCUGGGCUGUAAACCUCUUUUCUCAAGGAAGAAGACCUGACGGUACUUGAGGAAUAAGCCACGGCUAAUUCCGUGCCAGCAGCCGCGGUAAUACGGGAGUGGCAAGCGUUAUCCGGAAUUAUUGGGCGUAAAGCGUCCGCAGGUGGCCCUGUAAGUCUGUCGUUAAAGCGUGGAGCUUAACUCCAUUUAAGCGAUGGAAACUACAGGGCUAGAGUGUGGUAGGGGCAGAGGGAAUUCCCGGUGUAGCGGUGAAAUGCGUAGAUAUCGGGAAGAACACCAGUGGCGAAGGCGCUCUGCUGGGCCAUCACUGACACUCAUGGACGAAAGCCAGGGGAGCGAAAGGGAUUAGAUACCCCUGUAGUCCUGGCCGUAAACGAUGAACACUAGGUGUCGGGGGAAUCGACCCCCUCGGUGUCGUAGCCAACGCGUUAAGUGUUCCGCCUGGGGAGUACGCACGCAAGUGUGAAACUCAAAGGAAUUGACGGGGGCCCGCACAAGCGGUGGAGUAUGUGGUUUAAUUCGAUGCAACGCGAAGAACCUUACCAGGGUUUGACAUCCUGCGAAUCCCUUGGAAACGAGGGAGUGCCUUCGGGAGCGCAGAGACAUGUGGUGCAUGGCUGUCGUCAGCUCGUGUCGUGAGAUGUUGGGUUAAGUCCCGCAACGAGCGCAACCCACGUCGUUAGUUGCCAGCAUUCAGUUGGGCACUCUAGCGAGACCGCCGGUGAUAAACCGGAGGAAGGUGUGGAUGACGUCAAGUCAUCAUGCCCCUUACAUCCUGGGCUACACACGUACUACAAUGCUACGGACAAAGGGCAGCGAUCCCGCGAGGGCUAGCAAAUCCCAUAAACCGUGGCUCAGUUCAGAUCGUAGGCUGCAACUCGCCUACGUGAAGGAGGAAUCGCUAGUAAUCGCAGGUCAGCAUACUGCGGUGAAUACGUUCCCGGGCCUUGUACACACCGCCCGUCACACCAUGGAAGUUGGCCACGCCCGAAGUCGUUACUCCAACCCUUGUGGAGGAGGACGCCGAAGGUGGGGCUGAUGACUGGGGUGAAGUCGGAACAAGGUA